rnacentral:rRNA from 1 species
CCUACGGGGGGCAGCAGUGGGGGAUAUUGCACAAUGGGCGCAAGCCUGAUGCAGCGACGCCGCGUGAGCGAAGAAGUAUUUCGGUAUGUAAAGCUCUAUCAGCAGGGAAGAAAAUGACGGUACCUGACUAAGAAGCUCCGGCUAAAUACGUGCCAGCAGCCGCGGUAAUACGUAUGGAGCAAGCGUUAUCCGGAUUUACUGGGUGUAAAGGGGGCGCAGACGGCAAUGCAAGCCAGGAGUGAAAGCCCGGGGCCCAACCCCGGGACUGCUCUUGGAACUGCAUGGCUGGAGUACAGGAGGGGCAG